rnacentral:snoRNA from 1 species
AGCUGUGAUGAGCAUCGCUUCCUUCUGACACCUCUUGUAUGAGAAGUGCGCCUCUCUCCAGAGAGGCGCCCUUCGUUGAGCAGAGUAUAGCAACUGUCUGAGCU